ensembl:lncRNA
ACUAAUCACAGAGGCUACAUCAGAUGCAUGACUCAGUGAUAGACUUGAUUGAAGAACUGGAUCACUUCACUGACGGGGUGUCUCUUCAGCCUGCUGGCCUCCAAGAACUAUAUGUUUUUCCUGCUUUCUGCUGCCAAUGGCACACAGAGCCAAGUAUUGGUUGAGCAAGGGGUAAACAAGUUAAUGAGAAUAUUAGGCCAUGUGUAAUGUGGAAAAUUGUUUCGGAACUUAAUGACCUCCAUUGUUUAAAAAGACAUACCUUUUCAGGAAAACAAAAUAAAGCAGUCAAGUUGGUUUUAUGAGAUCUACUUUUACAUCACUGGAUUGAGGAUUUCUGAAAAACAGACAGAAAAUGUCUUGGUCUGUUCACUAGAAUCUUCGGCUGUAUAUAUUUUCCAAAAGGAGAAAGUGUGGAAUAGUUUUCUAUGAACAUUCUUAGAAUAAAUAAUGUGAAUGUUUACUCAGGUAUCUCCAUCAACACACUAGGAAGGUUUUUCCAAACAAUUGUUGUGAACUAGCUGCAGUGCUUUCUGGAUGGAGAGAGGGAUUGCUUUUCUCUGUUAAUGUACUCUGAGGACAAACCUAGGAAAUGUGCAGAAUGUGCUCAGAUGCUGUGAUGGGCUUUUAUCCUCAUGCAGGUAGAAAGCUCAUGGCCUGGAUCCCCAAGGGACUGACGUGUCUGCUGUUGUCCUGAAUGACUGCUGGUUUUGACUUUGGAAAAUUUUUAAUUAAUUCUGUAUAACAGCUGAACAGUGGCAAGUGAGUUGUAAACUUCCCACCAUGAGUUUCCAAGAAAAAAGAUAGAAAAUCAAGACUAAAGCAAGGGGCACACAGCUUUUGAAGCAGAGCAGCACCAGGGAAGGGAUCAAAUA